UGGGGAAUAUUGCUCAAUGGGCGCAAGCCUGAUGCAGCCAUGCCGCGUGUGUGAAGAAGGCCUUCGGGUUGUAAAGCACUUUCAGCGAGGAGGAAGGUGGUGAACUUAAUACGUUCAUCAAUUGACGUUACUCGCAGAAGAAGCACCGGCUAACUCCGUGCCAGCAGCCGCGGUAAUACGGAGGGUGCAAGCGUUAAUCGGAAUUACUGGGCGUAAAGCGCACGCAGGCGGUUUGUUAAGUCAGAUGUGAAAUCCCCGGGCUCAACCUGGGAACUGCAUUUGAAACUGGCAAGCUAGAGUCUCGUAGAGGGGGGUAGAAUUCCAGGUGUAGCGGUGAAAUGCGUAGAGAUCUGGAGGAAUACCGGUGGCGAAGGCGGCCCCCCUGGACGAAGACUGACGCUCAGGUGCGAAAGCGUGGGGCAGCAAACAGGAUUAGAUACCCUGGUAGUCCACGCUGUAAACGAUGUCGAUUUGGAGGUUGUGCCCCUUGAGGCGUGGCUUCCGGAGCUAACGCGUUAAAGUCGACCGCCUGGGGGAGUUACGGCCGCAAGGUUAAAAC
rnacentral:rRNA from 1 species